rnacentral:misc_RNA from 1 species
UCCCCGAUUUCCGGGGCAGUCUCAUUAGAGUGCCCAACUGAAUGUAGCAACUAAUGACAAGGGUUGCGCUCGUUGCGGGACUUAACCCAACAUCUCACGACACGAGCUGACGACAGCCAUGCAGCACCUGUGUCCAGAUUCUCUUUCGAGCACUCCCGAAUCUCUCAGCAGGGUUCCGGACAUGUCAAGGGUAGGUAAGGUUGUUCGCGUUGCAUCGAAUUAAUCCACAUCAUCCACCGCUUGUGCGGGUCCCCGUCAAUUCCUUUGAGUUUUAACCUUGCGGCCGUACUCCCCAGGCGGUCAACUUCACGCGUUAGCUACGGUACCAAGGAAUCGCUUCCCCAACACCCAGUUGACAUCGUUUAGGGCGUGGACUAC